GCACAAGCGGUGGAGCAUUGUGGUUUAAUUCGAAGCAACGCGAAGAACCUUACCAGGUCUUGACAUCCCGAUGCUAUUUCUAGAGAUAGAAAGUUACUUCGGUACAUCGGUGACAGGUGGUGCAUGGUUGUCGUCAGCUCGUGUCGUGAGAUGUUGGGUUAAGUCCCGCAACGAGCGCAACCCCUAUUGUUAGUUGCCAUCAUUCAGUUGGGCACUCUAGCGAGACUGCCGGUAAUAAACCGGAGGAAGGUGGGGAUGACGUCAAAUCAUCAUGCCCCUUAUGACCUGGGCUACACACGUGCUACAAUGGCAGGUACAGAGGGCUGCAAAGCCGCGAGGUAGAGCGAAUCCCAGAAAACCUGUCUCAGUCCGGAUUGAAGUCUGCAACUCGACUUCAUGAAGGCGGAAUCGCUAGUAACCGCGAAUCAGCAGGUCGCGGUGAAUACGUUCCCGGGCCUU
rnacentral:rRNA from 1 species